CCCCGUCAGGACGANCGCUGGCGGCGUGCCUAAUACAUGCAAGUCGAACGCUUCUUUCCUCCCGAGUGCUUGCACUCAAUUGGAAAGAGGAGUGGCGGACGGGUGAGUAACACGUGGGUAACCUACCCAUCAGAGGGGGAUAACACUUGGAAACAGGUGCUAAUACCGCAUAACAGUUUAUGCCGCAUGGCAUAAGAGUGAAAGGCGCUUUCGGGUGUCGCUGAUGGAUGGACCCGCGGUGCAUUAGCUAGUUGGUGAGGUAACGGCUCACCAAGGCCACGAUGCAUAGCCGACCUGAGAGGGUGAUCGGCCACACUGGGACUGAGACACGGCCCAGACUCCUACGGGAGGCAGCAGUAGGGAAUCUUCGGCAAUGGACGAAAGUCUGACCGAGCAACGCCGCGUGAGUGAAGAAGGUUUUCGGAUCGUAAAACUCUGUUGUUAGAGAAGAACAAGGACGUUAGUAACUGAACGUCCCCUGACGGUAUCUAACCAGAAAGCCACGGCUAACUACGUGCCAGCAGCCGCGGUAAUACGUAGGUGGCAAGCGUUGUCCGGAUUUAUUGGGCGUAAAGCGAGCGCAGGCGGUUUCUUAAGUCUGAUGUGAAAGCCCCCGGCUCAACCGGGGAGGGUCAUUGGAAACUGGGAGACUUGAGUCAGAAGAGGAG
rnacentral:rRNA from 1 species